rnacentral:rRNA from 1 species
GACGAACGCUGGCGGCGUGCUUAACACAUGCAAGUCGAGCGGUAAGGCCCUUUCGGGGGUACACGAGCGGCGAACGGGUGAGUAACACGUGGGUGACCUGCCCUCAGCUCUGGGAGUAAGCCCUGGGAAACCGGGUCUAAUACCGGAUAUGACUCCAUGACGCAUGUUGUGGGGUGGAAAGCCUUGUGCGGCUGAGGAUGGGCCCGCGGCCUAUCAGCUUGUUGGUGGGGNGAUGGCCUACCAAGGCGGCGACGGGUAGCCGGCCUGAGAGGGCGACCGGCCACACUGGGACUGAGACACGGCCCAGACUCCUACGGGAGGCAGCAGUGGGGAAUCUUGCGCAAUGGGCGAAAGCCUGACGCAGCGACGCCGCGUGAGGGAUGACGGCCUGG